rnacentral:rRNA from 1 species
CCUACGGGUGGCAGCAGUGGGGGAUAUUGCACAAUGGGGGGAACCCUGAUGCAGCGAAGCCGCGUGGGUGAAGGAGUGCUUCGGUAUGUAAAGCCCUAUCGGCAGGGAAGAAGCAAGAAGGUACCUGACUAAGAAGCCUCGGCUAACUACGUGCCAGCAGCCGCGGUACUACGUAGGGGGCGAGCGUUAUCCGGAUGCACUGGGUGGAACGGGAGCGCAGACGGCCAUGCAAGCCAGGGGUGAAAGCCCGGGGCCCAACCCCGGGACUGCCCUUGGAACUGCAUGGCUGGAGUGCGGGAGGGGCAGGCGGAAUGCCUGGUGUAGCGGUGAAAUGCGUAGAUAUCAGGAGGAACACCGGCGGCGAAGGCGGCCUGCUGGACCGCGACUGACGUUGAGGCUCGAAAGCGUGGGGAGCGAACAGGAUUAGAUACCCCUGUAGUC